UUGUUUUUAUUUUUAUUUAAUUUUUAAAUUUAAAAUUUUGAAAAAACUCUUAAGUUAAAGUAAUUUUUAUUGAAACAAUGUUUAAAAUAAAAACUGUAAAGGUUUAAUUAAUAUAAUAGAUUAAGUAGAGACAUAGCUUGUACCUUUUGUAUCAGGGUUAAUUAAUUUAAUUUAAUUAUUUAUUUUUCCCGAAAUAUAAUGAUUUAUAAUAAUUUAUUAGUCAUUGUUUCAUAAAUGUUAAUGAAAUUAUUAUAGAAAUGAAAUUUUUUCGAAUUAUGUUAUAUCUGGUUUUUCAAGAGAUGAAUUUAAUUCAGAAGAAUUAUUAUUACUUAAUAUUAUUUAGUAAGUUUUAUUUUUCUUUAAAUAUAUUAAGGAUAAGCUUAAUAUAUAUUUUAUAAUUUAUGAAUUUAUUUAUUUUUAAUAGGCCUAAGAACAGCCAUUUUAUGAUUAAGUUAUAUUUCAAUGUUACAUUUUAUUUAUUUUAAUAAAUUUAGAUCAAUAUUGAAAAAUUUAAGUUAAUUUAUUAGUUAUAAUUAUAAUGAUUAUAUUAGUAUAAUAUAAAUAUAAUAUAUUUAUGAAUUCGGCAAAAUUAUGCUUUCACCUGUUUAUCAAAAACAUGUCUUUUAGAUUAUAUUAAAAGUCUAAUCUGCCCAAUGAUUCUUUAAUGGCCGCGGUAAACUGACCGUGCGAAGGUAGCAUAAUAAUUAGUCUUUUAAUUGAAGGCUUGAAUGAAUGAUUGGAUGAAAAGCUAUCUUUAUUAAUAUAAAAAUUUUAAUUUAACAUUUAAGUAAAAAGGCUUAAAUAUUUUAGUGGGACGAGAAGACCCUAUAGAAUUUUAAAUUUAUAAUUAUUAAAUUUAUCUAGAUAAAUAUUAAAUUUAAUAAUUGUGAAUUUUUUGUUGGGGUGACAUUAAAAUAUUAAUAACUUUUAAUUAAAUUUUCAUAGAUAAAUGAUUAUUAGAUCCAAAUUUUUUUGAUUUUAAGAUUAAAUUACCUUAGGGAUAACAGCGUUAUUAUUUUAAAAAGUUCUUAUUGAUAAAAUUAGAUUGCGACCUCGAUGUUGGAUUAAGAAAAGAACUUGGUGCAAGUUUUAAGUAUCUAGGUCUGUUCGACCUUUAAAUUCUUACAUGAUCUGAGUUCAAACCGGCGUGAGCCAGGUUGGUUUCUAUCUUCUUAAAUAUUUUAUAUAUUAGUACGAAAGGACCAUAUAUAAUAAUUAUAAUUAU
rnacentral:rRNA from 1 species